rnacentral:piRNA from 1 species
GCAUGACACCACACUGGGUA